UACGUAGGUGGCAAGCGUUAUCCGGAUUUACUGGGUGUAAAGGGCGUGUAGGCGGGAGAGCAAGUCAGACAUGAAAUUCCAGGGCUCAACCCUGGAACUGCGUUUGAAACUGUUCUUCUUGAGUGAUGGAGAGGCAGGCGGAACUCCGUGUGUAGCGGUGAAAUGCGUAGAUAUACGGAGGAACACCAGUGGCGAAGGCGGCCUGCUGGACAUUAACUGACGCUGAGGCGCGAAAGCGUGGGGAGCAAACAGG
rnacentral:rRNA from 1 species